rnacentral:rRNA from 1 species
GAUGAACGCUGGCGGCGUGCCUAAUACAUGCAAGUCGAGCGAACGGACGAGAAGCUUGCUUCUCUGAUGUUAGCGGCGGACGGGUGAGCAACACGUGGAUAACCUACCUAUAAGACUGGGAUAACUUCGGGAAACCGGAGCUAAUACCGGAUAAUAUUUUGAACCGCAUGGUUCAAAAGUGAAAGACGGUCUUGCUGUCACUUAUAGAUGGAUCCGCGCUGCAUUAGCUAGUUGGUAAGGUAACGGCUUACCAAGGCAACGAUGCAUAGCCGACCUGAGAGGGUGAUCAGCCACACUGGAACUGAGACACGGUCCAGACUCCUACGGGAGGCAGCAGUAGGGAAUCUUCCGCAAUGGGCGAAAGCCUGACGGAGCAACGCCGCGUGAGUGAUGAAGGUCUUCGGAUCGUAAAACUCUGUUAUUAGGGAAGAACAUAUGUGUAAGUAACUGUGCACAUCUUGACGGUACCUAAUCAGAAAGCCACGGCUAACUACGUG